rnacentral:rRNA from 1 species
AAUAUUGCACAAUGGGGGAAACCCUGAUGCAGCGACCCCCCGGGAGCGAAGAAGGCUUCGGGGUCGUAAAGCCCUUUUGGCAGGGAGGAAAAGCCGCCGGUUAUUCCUUGCCGCCGCUGCGGGUACCUCCAGAAUAAGCACCGGCUAACUACUUGCCACCAGCCGCGGUAAUACGUAGGGUGCAAGCGUUAAUCGGAAUUACUGGGCGUAAAGCGUGCGCAGGCGGUUCGGAAAGAAAGAUGUGAAAUCCCAGGGCUCAACCUUGGAACUGCAUUUUUAACUGCCGAGCUAGAGUAUGUCAGAGGGGGGUAGAAUUCCACGUGUAGCAGUGAAAUGCGUAGAGAUGUGGAGGAAUACCGAUGGCGAAGGCAGCCCCCUGGGAUAAUACUGACGCUCAUGCACGAAAGCGUGGGGAGCAAACA